rnacentral:rRNA from 1 species
UACGAAGGGGGCAAGCGUUGUUCGGAAUCAUUGGGCGUAAAGGGCGCGUAGGCGGCCGAUAAAGUCGGGGGUGAAAGCCUGUGGCUCAACCACAGAAUUGCCUUCGAUACUGUUUGGCUUGAGACCGGAAGAGGUUAGUGGAACUGCGAGUGUAGAGGUGAAAUUCGUAGAUAUUCGCAAGAACACCAGUGGCGAAGGCGGCUGACUGGUCCGGUUCUGACGCUGAGGCGCGAAAGCGUGGGGAGCAAACAGG